rnacentral:rRNA from 1 species
GACGAACGCUGGCGGCGUGCUUAACACAUGCAAGUCGAACGGAAAGGCCUGCUUUCCCUUGUGGAUUGCGGGUACUCGAGUGGCGAACGGGUGCGUAACACGUGAGUGAUCUGCCCCCAACUUGGGUAUAAGCCUGGGAAACUGGGUCUAAUUCCCGAUAGGACUGCAGGGUGGUGCCUGUGGUGGAAAACGAUUUUCUAGUGGUUGGGGAUGAGCUCGCGGCCUAUCAGCUUGUUGGUGGGGUAAUGGCCUACCAAGGCGGCGACGGGUAGCCGGCCUGGGAGGGUGGACGGCCACAUUGGGACUGAGAUACGGCCCAGACUCCUACGGGAGGCAGCAGUGGGGAAUAUUGCACAAUGGGCGGAAGCCUGAUGCAGCGACGCCGCGUGGGGGAUGACGGCCUUCGGGUUGUAAACUCCUUUCGACCGCGAGGAAGCCACCUGGUUGGAAGGGUGGUGACGGUAGUGGUAGAAGAAGCACCGGCUAACUACGUG